rnacentral:rRNA from 1 species
GACGAACGCUGGCGGCGUGCUUAACACAUGCAAGUCGAACGGAAAGGCCCUGCUUUUGUGGGGUGCUCGAGUGGCGAACGGGUGAGUAACACGUGAGUAACCUGCCCUUGACUUUGGGAUAACUUCAGGAAACUGGGGCUAAUACCGGAUAGGAGCUCCUGCUGCAUGGUGGGGGUUGGAAAGUUUCGGCGGUUGGGGAUGGACUCGCGGCUUAUCAGCUUGUUGGUGGGGUAGUGGCUUACCAAGGCUUUGACGGGUAGCCGGCCUGGGAGGGUGACCGGCCACAAUGGGACUGAGGUACGGCCCAGACUCCUACGGGAGGCAGCAGUGGGGAAUAUUGCAGAAUGGGCGGAAGCCUGAUGCAGCAACGCCGCGUGCGGGAUGACGGGCUUCGGGUUGUAAACCGCUUUCGCCGGUGACGAAGCGUGAGUGACGGUAAUGGGUAAAGAAGCACCGGCUAACUACGUG